CACAUCGACCAAAUAGUAUUCAAAUCAGUCCAUGGUUCGUUGUCGUUUCCUGGCGCUGCAUUUGUCAAACGCUGCGGAAUAAAUGAACCGCAACGACAAUGCCGAUUUGUAUCUCAUGGAUACUGCAGCAAUAACAAUAACAACAACAACAACAACAACAACAACAACAGCAGCAGCAACAACAACUAUAACUAUACAUAAGGCUUGGCCUCAGCCCCAGCCCCAGCCGCAGCGCCAGCUCGUUUUCCAGGUGUGAGCGACCCACGUGGCCGCAGCUCGAGCUGAAACUGGGCAACUGGUCAACUUGUGUUGGGCUGCAUAGUGUUGUGCGAUGCAGUCGCUGUCCAUAAAUCUCGGCUUUUGUGCACCAGCCACGUUCGUUAGUGACGCUUUUUUUUCGCGAUUUGCCAAUAUUUGACAGGGGUAUCUCAAUAGCCCCGCCGAGAUUUACCAACAUUUAUCUAUGGCCAAGGCCCGCAAAGAUAUCGUUCUGUCCAAUUCAAUUGUGGCGUCGCGUCGUGCAGGCAUGCGCCCAGAAUUAAUGGCAUAUCCCUAGGGUUCGAUUAAAAUUCUAUCAAUAUAGCACAUUGGAAAUGGGUUAGGUCUCUGUAUUCGUGCUGUUAUUCGAAACGUUCGAUCGCAAUACGGACUUUAGCUGAAAAAACAAUCAAAUGAUUCGCGAGACAAAUCAAUUUGAUGUAAACAAAUAUGAAACCACAGCACAUUUAUCCCAUUAUACAAACAAUGUUCUUGUAAUUUGAUAUUGCACCAAUGCAGUAACUUUUAGUUAUAAUUUGCUAAUCGCAGUAAUUUAAAGAAACCUUAAACAUUAUUAUCAGAAAACUAAUAUGCUGUUGUUAAUAGGCAGAUGAAAGCGCUCGCUGAAUUAAAUUAUCCAAUGAUUUUAUUUACUGCAUGCGUUUACUUUUGCCUGUGUCUAACCAUAAACAAAUAAAUUCUUUUGUUUACAAAUGAUAUUCUAUUCGAAAAUGUUAAAGUA